AUCCGGUUGACGAGUCCCAAAUAGGAUGAAACGCGCGUUCUGGAU
rnacentral:hammerhead_ribozyme from 1 species